GCCUGAGGCCACACCACCUUGAAUAAGCCUGAUCUCGUCUGAUCUCAGAAGCUAAGCAACGUUGGGCUUGGUUAGUACUUGGAUGGGAGACCACCUGGGAAUAUCAAGUGCUGUAGGCAUU
rnacentral:rRNA from 1 species